CUAUAUACAGUGAAUCUCCAACUCAACAUUACAAUACUUCUGUCUCAAAGAGAAAGUGGACCGACCUAUUCUUGUUGUUUCUGUAUUCAAUUUUCUAGGGAAAGGUUUUCCAGCUGUGGUCAAAAUCAUUACAGACGGAAAAAUGAGCAACCAGAGGGUAAAGAAGAAGCAUCACAUCAAGUUGAAGGCUCAAGUAGUUCUGUUAAUGAGCAGGAAAAUUCAGACAAUUCUCGAGAUCAGCCCUGAUCAUAUCCAAUUUUAUUGGACAUCCCUUUUGACAAAUGGUACAUAAAAUGAAAUCAAUUUGCGAGAGGCCUGCUAAAGUCUAGAUUUAAUGGAAGUACAUUGUUGUCAGCUGUUUCCUUUCACCGACAAAUGGGAAUUCGCCAACCAGAAUUUUAAGCGGGGUCAGAUGUAUCUGCUGCCAGCAAUCAAGCGUCGGAAGACCCAACCGCUAGCAGCAGUAAAAUUAGCUGGUGAUGGCUGGAACUCGCCGUCAAACUCCGGUGGCGAUGACAUGGGUUCAACCUUAACAGGAUCAGUAGAACUAAAUACCCAUUGCCCCGAUUUAUCAAGUGAGAACAAAAAAUUGAUAAAAGAGAACGAGAAAUUGAGCUGUGAAUUGGCACGUGAAAGAAGCAGUGCAGCGAGUUGGUAGCUUUUCUACGGGAUACUGUCAAUGUGGGACAUGAUCAGGUUAACUGCAUCAUCCGGCAAGGAACACAUGUGUCUAGUCUCAAUGUGGAGCGUUUUGAUGAUGACCAUAUUGGAGUAGGUGAGGUGCGUAUUUCAGAUUACUCCUGCAGGGAAGACAUGGCAUGAACCACAUCUUUCAUGUUAACUGCAUCAUUCGGCAAGGAACAAAGGCUCUACAUUCACCUAUUGCAAUAUUGUCAUCAUCCAAACGCACCACGUCAGGGAUGGACCCACUUGUCUCUUGUCGAUCAUGCAAUUAAUCUGAUCUGGUCCCACAUUGACAAUGUCCUGUAGAAAAGCUACUAACUUGUUGCACUACUUCUUCGCAAGUGCCGAUUCACCUUUCAAUUUCUCGUUGUCUUUUUUUAAUCUUUUGUUCUCAAUGGAUAAAUCAUGCAACGGGUGUUUGGUUCUACUGAUCCCGUCGAGGUUGAUCCCAUAUCUUCAGCACCAGAGUUUCACGCCGAGUUCCUGCCGUCAUCAACAGAUUUUACAACUGCUGGCGACUGGGGAACACUUGAUUGCUGGCAGCAGCUCCAUCUGUCCUCACUUGAAAUUCUAGUAGGCAAAUUCCCAUGUGCAUAGGUUCCAGCAGUUAUUGGUCAGGUUCAUGAGAAUGUAGAAUGUGACAGAUUUAUCAUUUUGCACAAGUUAAAGAUAUUGUUAAUUAUGUCUUUGCCAUCU